CUUAGGUAUUUUAUGAAUUUUUGCCAAGAAAAUACUGAACUGAUAAACUGACACCUGCAACAACAAUAAGGCUACUGUAGUGGAAAUUCAAACAGCUUGAAACAGUGACUGAGCACCUGGUAAGAAGGAAGGGCCAACCCAUGGGAGCUUAGGUGUAUGCAGUGCGCCUCAGUGACCAGAAGUACGGUCACUCAGAAGAAGGUGAGAGUGUCUUAUUGGAGAUUCAUGCAUACCUGAGGCCUUAUGAAGGUCUACAUUUUCUAUGUGCACAGGAGACUUUUCAUGAAUAUUGUUCUGCAGCUGAGUAAUGAAAUUGCAUGUCAUCACUGUGAUUCACCCAUAUAAAAUUACUUCCAGAAAAAGGUAAUGGAAAUCUUCACUGCAGCAUUCAGUUUGAAGAAACCUGGUAUUUCAACAAAAGGAAACAACAGUUCUUGGAACAAGUGACAUACAGAGGAAAUUUCUUUCUGGGACUACUAAAACCACGUAGUGUCACCAACAGUGCAUACAGCCAUGUUUCAGACUUCAACCCAGCCCUCUUAUGUUACAUUUGUAAUCUAAGUAAGGAGGGAGAAUUCCAGGAAGAAAACAUCUCAAAAGGUCCAUCAGUAUCUAUGAAAAUAAGACUCUCCUUAGGGCAUGACCACUGUUUGCAAGUUAGAGCUUUCAAAUGCCAUGAUAAAGCAGCGCUUCCCAGCAGAAGCUGAACAUUUUUAAGUCAAGUCUUCUGUAGAAGACUUUGGGAAACCAUUACCCAGGACACCCAGGGAUGCCAGUCAUGUGAGGUUUUGCUGCACUGCUUCUCUGGCUGCCUCAUGCUACAGGGGUGGUAUACUUCAGCAGCUGGCUUCGCAACUGGAGAAAGAAAAGAACAGUGAGAUUGAUUUCAUCAGUGGAAAAGAACAGGGUUUCUGAGAUCACUUCUUUUUUUUUUUAAAUAAAAAAAAUAUAUUCCCACA
rnacentral:lncRNA from 1 species